GCGCCACUAUUGUACAAGGUCGGCAUCGUUUUUGUUUUGAAAGGCGGUGGUGGUGUGGUGUGUGUACGUCCUUUCUGAACCGCCAAUUUUUCGAUAAAAGCCCGAACUGCGUGAGAUUGUGACCAGCGCCAAUAUGGACGUUGCGUCAGGUACGAAAACGGUGCCCGGGGAGAACGUUUCGCAAACCGAGUCUGACAAUCUCGUUGUUCUGGAGCGGCUUGCAGCGAACCUCUUUCUGCGUGUCAACGAGCUUGAAAGAGCGCUGCCGUCGUGCGAGAAUGCUGAUGGAGAGACGGGCUCAGAAACGCAAGCACUAUUGCUAGCACGAGUCUCGGAGCUAGAGUCACAGGUUAGAUCGCUGACCCACGAAAACGAACGCCUCAAGUAUCGGAUCCGGCACUUGGUACGCAGUCUAGAGGCGGUUUUGAGCCCCCGCACCCAGGUCACGAAUACUACCAUAGCGUCAGCAGCAACGCCGGUGAACGGCAACCCAGCGGCCACUGAGUAACACCGAGCUUGAGAAGCGCUACCCCUGGACGUAUGCGUCUGGUACAGGGUGCACCGAUCGAGUCCUCUGGUCAGGCGACACGGUCGGAGCCGCGUCUGUGCACGCUGCUCCGAACGAGCGCGCACUUUGGUACGCGCGACCCUUGUGAAGUUAUUUGCUGAGCGACGUUGACCUGAACUCGUGUGCAGCGUACAAGCAUGGGUACAUUUGCAAGCGGACGCUGGCGCUUGCAGUCGCACAGGGCAGAGCCAGCGCAAUGAAAGAUGGUGCAGCGCGUUAUGUCCGCACCGUUCUGCACUGCGAAUGGAUCGUUCUCCGCCCGUGUCAGCAUUAAAUGAAACGGACUCACUAAUUAGGGCGUACACGCUUAAGUUUGGGUGUCUGCCCGGAGCCAUCAGCAACAUUCGUUGCAGGCUUCUCCGGCUUUCAAGACGCUCGACUCUCUGAUCUCUCUGGCCUCGUUGCAAGCAGUCGAAGGAUGUUGAUGGCAUCUUUCAACUCCCGACUUGGUGCUUCCGGCAGUCGUCAACGCAUUUGAAACACAUGCCAAAAAUUGCGAUUUAUGCCACUAAUGUCACUUUCAUCUCCAUUGUAUGCAGCCGCCGUGAGCUCUUCGCAGCGCUGCCAUUGGACGAUGGUCCGCUUUUUCCAAAUGUCUACGAAGCUUGCCUUUCAGAGGGCCGCUCUGUGGCGCUUGAGCGCUGGCUUAUGCACGCAGCACGAGUCAGCGACGAGCAAAGAAGGCCCUCUUCGAUGCCCUGCGGCCUCUCCGCGUCCGGUGCAGUACCCCAAGAUCACGGGCUUCUUCCAAGCGAUCCCCUUGACAUGUACUUUGUUCGUCGCGGUCGCAAGCGCACGCUCUUCCAUUCGAUAGGGGAUUCGUGGAAUGCGAUGAUGUUCGUAAUGAAACACGUACCGGAAGGAGAACCCAUGCUCGUGAACAAGUGGAGCGUUUUCGAUCCGUCGACGCUCCUCUCAUCCGGUUCAAUGACACAACUAUCGCCCGAAGCGAUUGCUGUGAUGACUCGAGUGCAAGCCGAAGAUCCUGUUCCAUGCAGACAGAAGAGAUGAGUGCCUUUGGAAGCAUUUCCCAGAACAAAUAUCGUGCCUAUGUCGAAUACAGUUCCGUUAAAGGCCAAAAAAGAUGAGGAUUGAUGUUUCGAACGGAAUCGAAUAUUUGAUGGGAUACGUUCAGUGCACUUUCGGCAUGAGCACAUGAAGAACGCAUCAAGGGACGAUGCCGAACGUUCUUCUUCGUACGUCUAGCGGCGGGAACGGUAGUGCGCCUACCAGUUGCAAAGGAGCCGCAAAAUCGACCACUUGAAGCGCGCAAGAUUUGAGCGUGCCACAUGAAAGAAAAAGAGAAGCGUCGAAGUUUGCGCGUAUGUAUUGGUUGAUGAUGCCCAAUCGUGUAGGAAAGCUUGUCUCAUGGCGUUGCGGAUCAUCCUGGUGAAGGUAACGUAACGAAUACCAGGAACGAUGCGUCGAAGGAGCCACUCCGGACAGACGACCAAACAUCCUAAACCUACGUA
rnacentral:misc_RNA from 1 species